UGUUGGCCUUGUCAUGUUUUAUGAUGGCCCGAGCUGGCAGCAGUGCAUCUUCCUGGAGGUGUGUGUGCGGUGGAUGAUCUGGCGGCAUUCCCAYGGGUGACCGAGGAGUCAUUUCCCGRUSCGAGUCACCUGCCUGCUCCAAGCUUCUGACAGCUGCAUCUUCCUGCGUUCCUCCAUCCCUCUGAGGCGCUGCAAAACACCAGCCUGCUGCUUCCCACGUGACUCAGUUAAUUAMUGAAAUUAGCAAAACUUGUGUUCCMGACUCUCAGAGCCUUGGCUUUYAAAGAGCCGAUAACUCCUGACUUUCCCCGGAUGCCUGUGUAGCCUGUGAAAUGGAGCCUCGUGUUUCCAGAACGAUCACUUUGGAUCAGAAACUGAAAUCUCGCUUUGUGCUCCUCCAGUGGAAAUCUGUCAGAAAURGCUUCAAGCAAGCCCCAAACACCCAACAGCAAACCAGAUGACACGGCACAAACCACAGCCUUUUGCUCMAGCCAGCUGAGAGACUGAAGUGAGAAAGGAUUUUGAGUUUUAUCCCUGCUGAACUGAGAAAGAUCGUGUGCUAACUGACAUCACUGCAGAUCUGGGAAGGCACAGAAAAUCCUAACGGCGAGAACCUGAACUUCGGAAAAACAGCCUCACUUUUCUUAAAAGAAAAGAUGAAUCCACAAAGUAGAUCUUGCCACAGCAGAAGGAACAUGUGCCAUGGGAACAGCAGAGGCAAAAUGUGUUAUGGGAAAAUCUUGAUGGAUUCAGCCCAGGACGAGAAUAUGCAAAUUGAGACCAAAUUAAAUGCAAUUGAGCAAGAUAACACAUAUCCCAGCCAUGAAGAAAACUCACAGCAUACUCACAAAAAAGAUGGAGUUCAAAUCCAAGGGGGAGUCUGAGGAUGUCUAAGCAGGCCCUAGUGACUAAAUUUUAGCAGGAAUAUGAAAGUUUCCCCAAAAAGGAGUGAGGAAAGUGUUGUAGGAAUCAAUCAAGGAGUAACUGUAGUGCAAGAAUCCUUUACAGAACUCAGUGGAAGAGGUGUAACCUGCCCUCCAACAUAGCAACAAAGCACAGGUACUAAAUAAUAAUAUAAGUUUUCUGCUUUUAAAAAGUCAUCCUAUAGCUCACUUCUGGGAUACUGUAUAUUUUUUCUCUUCCUGGCCUGUUCCACUGAACGAGGGAUUUUCAAGGGUUGCUGGUUUCCAGCUCCAAAGUAGCUCAAGUUCAGUUCUAGGGGAAACAAAACUUUCAACUAGCCUCAUUUAUAAAAUCUUUGAAGAURUGGGGAUGUCCUCUGGCUGUAAGGAAAGGAAGCCUGGUACAGAUAUAUAAAAGGGUUCAAUAUUUAAUUAAACAUAAUCUUCCUUGCGGCAUGAGUGAUUGAGCUCUUUCAGGAAUAAAAAACCUUGGUUUUUAUUACACUACUCUCCAACACGUGCCAACACAAAACCUUUUACAGGGCUGUGCUGGCCUCACCUGCCUUCCCCGUGGCAGCACUUGCUGCCCUGCUGCUGCCAAGAGAACAUUUUGGGAGCUAAUACCUUUCUACUUUUACAUGAAAAAUCCAUCUCUGUGGCUUGUCAGAUCGCUCUGACACAUCUCCCUCGUGCCUGGAAACUAUGGAGGCACUCCCCACACCAUUGGGGUGAGGAGCCCACAAUUCUGCACAACACCACGGCCCGCCUUGCUCCACCCUUAGGAGCAAACACAUAUUUUUCAGCUACUAAAAAAAAAAACAGUAUAAAAGAAAAAAAACAAAUAAUGUUUUUGGGUAGUUAUUCUCUACAGAGAACAGGUGCCCUGAUCCUGCACCCAUGGCUGAGCUCAGCGUGAGCAAAGGAGUUAUGCUGGAAGCGUGUGCUGACAGAGGCUCUGAGGAUCAGGCUUGCAGACCUGCCUUUGUGAAGGGUCAAGACAAUCUCACUUAGGGCACAAUUCUGUUAGUUUUG